UGAGUUUGAUCCUGGCUCAGGACGAACGCUGGCGGCGUGCCUAACACAUGCAAGUCGUGCGAGAAGUCUCAGAAAUUAUGGGACGGAAAGCGGCGGACGGGUGAGUAACGCGUGGGCAACCUGCCCCGUACAGGGGGACAACACCGGGAAACUGGUGCUAAUACCGCAUAAGGCACAUAGGUGGCAUCACAUAAGUGCCAAAGGAGAAAUCCGGUACAGGAAGGGCCCGCGUCCAAUUAGCUGGUUGGCGGGGUAAAGGCCCACCAAGGCGACGAUUGGUAGCCGGACUGAGAGGUCGGACGGCCACAUUGGGACUGAGACACGGCCCAGACUCCUACGGGAGGCAGCAGUGGGGAAUAUUGCGCAAUGGGGGAGACCCUGACGCAGCAACGCCGCGUGAAGGAAGAAGGUUUUCGGAUCGUAAACUUCUUUGGUUGGGGAAGAAGGAAGUGACGGUACCCAAAAAACAAGCCACGGCUAACUACGUGCCAGCAGCCGCGGUAAUACGUAGGUGGCAAGCGUUGUCCGGAAUUACUGGGUGUAAAGGGCGUGUAGGCGGGGCUGCAAGUCAGGUGUGAAAGCCCGGGGCUCAACCGCGGGAGUGCACCUG
rnacentral:rRNA from 1 species